rnacentral:rRNA from 1 species
GCAGGAUCGAAUCAGUGGUAUUGCAUGUGUUAGCAUGGAAUAAUGAAAUGAUGGCUUGGGUCCUUAUUUCGUUGGUUUAUACGACCUUUGCAAUGAUAAAUAGGAACGGUUGGGGGGAUUUGUAUUUGGCCGCUAGAGGUGAAAUUCUUGGAUUGA